CAACCGAACCUCACAGCUCGGCUUCACCCGAACUUACAUACAGCUGUGUUUUCCUUCCAGCCUGAGCGGAUUGGAUAAAUUAAAGAGGCGGGUCCGCCUCUUUUCUACUUGCUGGUUGGCGAAGCUGACCUCUAAGGGCGGUGCCCGGCAUUAGCCAGUGUGCUUCUGGGAUUGGCUACAAAGGUAGUUCCGCUGAGGAGUGGUAGGAAGUGGUAGCCGUCAAUCACGAAGGAGAGACUCCAAACAGUGAGCCUUGAGCUGGAGAACAGCGUUUACCGGCGGGAGGCCGGUUUUGUGAAUGAAGCUAUGGCUACAGAUUCCCCUAGAAGACCCAGUCGUUGUACUGGGGGAGUUGUGGUUCGCCCCCAGGCUGUCACAGAGCAGUCCUACAUGGAAAGUGUUGUGACUUUUCUACAGGAUGUUGUACCACAAGCUUAUAGUGGAACACCUCUAACAGAAGAAAAGGAGAAGAUAGUCUGGGUCAGAUUUGAAAAUGCAGAUUUAAAUGAUACGUCAAGAAAUCUGGAAUUUCAUGAAGUACACGGCACAGGGAAUGAGCCACCUUUGCUGAUUAUGAUUGGCUACAGUGAUGGAAUGCAGGUCUGGAGCAUCCCUAUCAGUGGGGAAGCACAGGAACUCUUCUCUGUUCGACAUGGCCCAAUUCGAGCUGCUAGAAUCUUGCCUGCUCCACAGUUUGGUACUCAAAAGUGUGACAACUUUGCUGAAAAAAGACCCCUCCUUGGUGUUUGUAAGAGCAUUGGAUCUUCUGGCACAAGCCCUCCUUACUGCUGUGUUGAUCUGUAUUCACUUCGCACUGGGGAAAUGGUCAAGUCCAUUCAGUUUAAAACACCAAUCUAUGACCUCCACUGCAACAAGCGGAUCCUCGUCGUAGUCUUGCAGGAGAAAAUCGCUGCCUUUGAUAGCUGUACUUUCACAAAAAAAUUCUUUGUCACAAGCUGCUAUCCUUGUCCUGGGCCAAACAUGAAUCCUAUUGCUCUUGGGAGCCGCUGGCUUGUUUAUGCAGAAAACAAGUUGAUUCGAUGCCAUCAAUCCCGUGGUGGAGCCUGUGGAGACAACAUUCAGUCUUAUACUGCCACAGUCAUUAGUGCUGCCAAAACAUUGAAAACUGGCCUGACAAUGGUUGGGAAAGUGGUAACCCAGCUGACAGGCACUCUGCCUUCAGGUGUGACAGAAGAUGAUGUUGCCAUCCAUAGUAAUUCACGACGGAGUCCUUUCGUCCCAGGCAUAAUCACAGUUAUUGACACUGAAACAGUUGGAGAGGGCCAGGUGCUUUUGAGCGAGGAUUCUGACAGUGAUGGUAUUGUGGCCCACUUCCCUGCUCAUGAGAAGCCAGUGUGCUGUAUGGCUUUUAAUACAAGUGGAAUGCUUCUAGUCACAACAGACACCCUUGGCCAUGACUUCCAUGUCUUCCAAAUUCUGACUCAUCCUUGGUCCUCAUCACAAAGUGCUGUCCAUCAUCUGUAUACUCUGCACAGGGGAGAAACUGAAGCCAAAGUACAAGAUAUCUGCUUCAGUCAUGACUGUCGCUGGGUUGUGGUCAGUACGCUCCGGGGGACUUCCCAUGUUUUCCCCAUCAACCCUUACGGUGGCCAGCCUUGUGUUCGUACACAUAUGUCACCACGAGUAGUGAAUCGCAUGAGCCGUUUCCAGAAAAGUGCUGGGCUGGAAGAGAUUGAACAAGAACUGACGUCUAAGCAAGGGGGCCGCUGUAGUCCUGUUCCAGGCCUAUCGAGCAGCCCGUCUGGCUCACCUUUGCAUGGGAAACUGAACAGUCAAGAUUCCUACAACAAUUUUACCAACAACAACCCUGGCAACCCUCGGCUAUCUCCUCUCCCCAGCUUGAUGGUAGUGAUGCCUCUUGCACAAAUCAAGCAGCCGAUGACAUUGGGGACUAUCACCAAACGAACAGGGCCUUAUCUGUUUGGAGCAGGCUGUUUUUCCAUAAAAACUCCAUGCAAAGUUAAACCACCUCCUCAAAUUUCACCCAGCAAAUCGAUGGGCGGAGAAUUUUGCGUGGCUGCUGUCUUUGGAACAUCCAGAUCAUGGUUUGCAAAUAAUGCAGGUCUGAAAAGAGAAAAAGAUCAGUCAAAACAAGUUGUAGUUGAAUCUCUCUACAUUAUCAGCUGCUAUGGGACCUUAGUGGAGCACAUGAUGGAACCUCGACCCCUCAGCACUGCCUCCAAGAUUAGCGAUGACACCCCACUGGAAAUAAUGACAUCACCUCGAGCCAGCUGGACUCUGGUCAGAACCCCUCAAUGGAAUGAAUUGCAACCACCGUUUAAUGCAAACCACCCUCUGCUCCUUGCUGCAGAUGCAGUACAGUAUUAUCAGUUCCUGCUUGCUGGCUUGGUUCCUCCUGGAAGUCCUGGGCCCAUUACUCGGCAUGGGUCUUAUGAUAGUUUAGCUUCUGACCAUAGUGGACAGGAAGAUGAAGAAUGGCUUUCUCAGGUUGAAAUUGUAACACACACUGGACCCCACAGACGUCUUUGGAUGGGUCCACAGUUCCAAUUCAAAACCAUCCAUCCCUCAGGCCAAACCACAGUCAUAUCAUCCAGUUCAUCCGUGCUGCAGUCACAUGGUCCAAGUGAUACUCCACAGCCCCUUUUGGAUUUUGAUACAGAUGAUCUUGAUCUCAAUAGUCUCAGGAUCCAGCCCGUCCGCUCUGACCCAGUCAGCAUGCCGGGGUCAUCCUGUCCAGUCUCUGAUCGAAGGGGAGUUUCCACAGUGAUUGAUGCUGCCUCAGAAGAUUUCCUAACAUUGGAGUAAAUGCUAAGGAUGUAGAUAAUUUGUGACAGGCUUACACAGUGAGUCUCUGAACUACGUGGAAUGUUCAAAAUACCAUAUUUGAAACAAUUAAAGAGAGGGAGAAAGAUGAAGUAGAAGCUAUGAAAUGUUCUGAAAAGCAGGAACUGUUGCCUGACCCUGAUGGACACCACAGAAAACCCCAGUAGAGAUGCUGUUCUUGGAAGCUAAAGUCAAAGCAGGCCUGCCUUUGAAGUCCAUUGUUGAGAAGACCAUUGUGUUUUGUGGGGGAGGAGUGCUCAGUGCUAGAAGAGUUAAUAAACACCAAGAGCUGUGCUCAUCUUGUAGCUUUGGUAAGCCUUAAUCUGUAAACUUGAUUACCUCCUAACUCGCCAUCUCUUGCCUCCCCCUUGAAGCACUGCAGGGGCUUUAUGGUGGUAUUAGUGGCAUUUUGCCCAACAUUGGCUUUAGGGAAAUCAUUCUACAAGAAAGAAAAGCAGAAAGACUAGAUCUGUCUGCUGUGUGCAGUCAUGAACAGAAAAAUAAGCUUAUGAGCUGCAGAGGGCAGAAAGGGUUUUCUGUCCUUACUUGAAAAUUGCAGGUGAAAUGUCACUCUCCUCUUCUUGCAGCCCAACUCGUUCCAAGCCUAGUGGCACCAUCAAGAAGGACUCACUUGAGAUGCUUUCAGCAGGAUACUCCGCAGUAUGUCAUGGAGAGUCCUUUGUAUUCACCAUAUUUCAUAAAAAUAUGUUCUUGAAGCUAUAGCUGUCUAGGAUUUUUCUUACACACACAUACUCACACAGUGUUUCUUUGUGAUUCUCAGUAUCGAAGAUAUUCUAGAGUGUGAGAGCAGAUUGAAUGUUCCUGUUUUGCCAAAAAUCAUUAAGUCAUUUAAAUCGUUAGUGUGGGGUACUUGUUGUAAAGGACUGAUUAAAAGCUCAGAGAAGCCCUUGUACAUUUGUCUAUUAAUCCCAAAAGCUUUCCAAUAUUUUCUCUUUCUAAUGAGGAGUCUGAGAAGAUGAUGUAUUAUUUCAUUUAAAAAUCUUAGAAGAUAAACCAAGACAGAAAAAGAUUAUGGCCACAGACAAGAGAUUAAACUAUUCAGGCAACAUGCUGUAAUAAAUAAGAAAAUACUGAGGCAAUAUACUGUUAAACUGGGAGCCAGUGGGUAGAAAUAUUGUGGUUUAUAUUUUGGCCCAAACUGAAGACAGCUGUCAGAGGAUAUGAGAGAAACAAUGAAAAUUGUCACUUGCCCCCUGAAUAUUUCAGAGUUAAUUGACAGGUCACCUAAAGAACAAGUCUGCCCUAUAAACAAGAGGAAACAACUCAGAGGAGCCAGUUUGGGCAUGGAUAGCAAAUGAUGACUGAAGCUUGCUACUAUGCUUUAUGUCUGUACAGUGGAACAGAAAGCAGCAUGCAGACCUCACCAGUGGUAUAUGGCAUUGCCUGCUGUAGGCUUUCUGCUUUAGGCACAGAAUAAAGUUGUCAUGAGUUACUUCUUACAGACUCUUGGAGAAUUGAGAAGCUACUCAUUGCUAUAGGUGUGUUAUGUUUGCACCUUAGCUCAAUCUUUUAUGGAUCAAUACACCCAGAAACAAUCUUUUGUGUAAUAACUCAUCAUUUCCUUAUGGUCUGAAGUUAUUUCUUUUCUCUUUUGAAAAAAAAAUCUGCAAAUUAGUGUUUCUUUGUUGUCAGAUUAUGAUAAAGUAGGCAGUUACACUAUUCAGUGAAGAUAGUCUUUUUAUUGCUGAGAUACUAGUUUGCUUAAAUUACAUUAUUUGUUCAAACAGUGAUACACCCAUUGUGUUAGUAAACUAUGCAUUUAUAGACUUGAGAAGAUGCCCUGAGAGAGAAAAGAAACCAAAAAUUUCAAAACUGUUUUAAGGCAUAGUUGGGAAGAUGAAGGAAAAAAAGGGGGGUAUAAAGAAUGAGGUGUGGAGUAGAAAAUUGUUAAGAGAGUAAAGGUUGUCAUUCUUAGGUGCCGUCGAGUCGCUUCCGACUCAUAGCAACCCUGUGUACAACAGAACUAAACACCGCCCAGUCCUGUGUGCCAUCCUCACAAUCGUUGCUGUGUUGGAGCCUGUUGUUGGAGCCACAGUGUCCAUCUCGUUGAGGGUCUUCCUCUUUUUCACUAACCCUCUACUUUACCAAGUAUGAUGUCCUUUUCCAGCGACAUGUCCAAAGAA